AUCUUUGCGCUUGGGGCAAUGACGCAGCUAGUGAGGUUAUAACCGAGGCGCGUCAAUUGCUGGUUGAAAACUAUUUCCAAACCCCCUCAUUGGCCUUCCUCCACGAGAGAGGCCAUCGAGAAUUUUUGAAGGGUCUGCCUCUGGCUUAGAC